CAGAGGAACCUGUUUUUUAAUCGAUGGUCCACGAUAAGUUUUACUUUAGUUUUAAAUUUAUAUAUCGUCGUUAUUAAUAAUUUUAUGAGAAUUUUAAUUUUUGAGAUUUUUUAUUAUAAGUUAGUUCAGAUCAAGGUGUAGUUUAUGUUGAAGUUAAAAUGGGUUACAUUUCAUUUAUGAUUGGUUCUUUUUUUUAAAUUUUUAGAUAAAUUGGAUUUGAUAGUAAAUUCUUUAUUUAGUGGAGUUGAUUUAGCUCUAAAAUAUGCACAUAUCGCCCGU
rnacentral:rRNA from 1 species